GCUGAAAUAACUCAACUGGGAGAGUGUUAGACUAAAGAUCUAAAGGCCCCUGGUUCAAUUCCAUGUUUCAGUG
rfam:TPA: Bos taurus chromosome 20, whole genome shotgun sequence.